rnacentral:misc_RNA from 1 species
CGGCUUGAUUCCGAGCAGCUCCGCCUUGCGCCGCGCCGGCUCCACUUCUUCGCCCUGCCCCAGAUCGGCGGUGAAGGUGACCACCUCCGCGCCAUAUUCGGUCUGCAGCCAUUUGAGGAUGAUCGAGGUAUCGAGGCC